rnacentral:tRNA from 1 species
GGCCCGCUGGCGCACGGAGGUGCGGCGGCUGCGGACCGCUGAUCGCCCAGCUGCCGAGCCAGGCCGUGGCGAUCUCGCCCUUGGCCAGCCGC